GGCUUCUAGCCUUUACAAACUCCAGAAGGAUGUGCCACUUUGUGAUCUGCCUUUAUAGAGAAGAAACUGUCGCCUUCAUCAGGCCUGAUGGGACAGGUAACAGAGGAGGCCCCUAUACGUGGAGGACUCCGCCUCUGGUGGCAGGAAGAGGAUGCAGAAGAGACAAGCAGAAAGUGAAGGUGAUAUCUGGAGUUCUAUGAGGCGAAGGUCUCAAGCUGGCCUGGAAUUUGUAGAGGACGACGACCUCCACCUCCGCCUCCAGGUGCUCGGAUUGUC